rnacentral:rRNA from 1 species
CCUACGGGAGGCAGCAGUGGGGAAUCUUGCGCAAUGCACGAAAGUGUGACGCAGCAACGCCGCGUGGAGGAAGAAGGCUCUCGGGUCGUAAACUCCUUUCAGUUGGGACGAAGCUUCGUCGGUUAAUAGCCGGCUGGAGUGACGGUACCUUCACAAGAAGCACCGGCUAACUACGUGCCAGCAGCCGCGGUAAUACGUAGGGUGCAAGCGUUGUCCGGAAUCAUUGGGCGUAAAGAGCGUGUAGGCGGCCCGAUUAGUCCGCUGUGAAAGUCCAGGGCUCAACCCUGGAAUGCCGGUGGAUACUGUCGGGCUCGAGUCCGGAAGAGGCGAGUGGAAUUCCUGGUGUAGCGGUGAAAUGCGCAGAUAUCAGGAAGAACACCAACGGCGAAGGCAGCUCGCUGGGACGGUACUGACGCUGAGACGCGAAAGCGUGGGGAGCAAACAGGAUUAGAUACCCUGGUAGUCCACGCCGUAAACGAUGGGUACUAGGUGUGGGGGUGUCGGACUCCCCCGUGCCGAAGCUAACGCAUUAAGUACCCGCCUGGGGAGUACGGCCGCAAGGCGUAAAACUCAAAGGAAAUUGACGGGCGUGAGACGNGCGACGGACGACGACGAGGGAGGAGG